rnacentral:rRNA from 1 species
UACGGGGGGGGGCAAGCGUUGUUCGGAAUUACUGGGCGUAAAGGGUGCGCAGGCGGAUAUGUAAGUCAGUGGUGAAAUCUCCGGGCUUAACCCGGAAAUUGCCGUUGAUACUAUAUAUCUUGAAUGCUGUGGAGGUAAGCAGAAUAUGUCAUGUAGCGGUGAAAUGCUUAGAUAUGACAUAGAAUACCUAUUGCGAAGGCAGCUUACUACGCAGAUAUUGACGCUCAUGCACGAAAGCGUGGGGAUCAAACAGGA